rnacentral:lncRNA from 1 species
AUGAAGAUUCAAGUUUGUUCGAUAUUUACAAUCCUUCUUUUAUUUUUGACCAUUUCAUCUGCAGCUGAUCCCAAUUAUACUUCUGGCCAAGACUUUGUUCAAUGUCUUAUCCGAUCGAGUUCAACCUCCAUAUCCAAAGUUAUUUACACCUCACAAAACUCUACUUACACCUCUGUCUUGAAGUUCUCCAUCAACAACCUCCGCUUUGAUACUCCGACGACUCCUAAACCUAUUGUUAUUGUCAAACCUGUGGACGAGUCGCAAAUUCAAACUGUCAUUUACUGUUGCAAGAAACAUGACAUUCAAAUGAGGAUUCGAGGCGGAGGACAUGACUACGAAGGUCUCUCGUAUGUAGCCCAAGUCCCGUUUGUGUUACUUGAUAUGAUUAAUCUCCGUUCUAUCAGUGUUGACCCUGUAAAGGCAACGGCAUGGGUUGGAGCUGGUGCAACGCUUGGAGAGCUGUAUUAUCAUAUUGGUCAGAAGAGCGAUACCCUUGGAUUUCCUGCCGGAAUAUGGUCCACAGUAGGUGUAAGCGGACUCGUCAGUGGUGGGGGAUAUGGUACAUUGAGACGCAAGUAUGGCCUCGCUGCUGAUAACGUGCUCGAUGCACGCUUGAUUGAUGCCAACGGCAGAAUUCUUGAUAGAAAAUCAAUGGGAGAAGAUUUGUUUUGGGCCAUCAGAGGAGGUGGCGCUUCUAGUUUCGGUGUCAUUCUUUCCUGGAAACUGAAGCUGGUUUCUGUUCCAAAAAUUGUCACCGUCUUCCAAGUUGAAAGAACUUUAGAGCAGAAUGCAACUGAAGUGCUUCACCGUUGGCAAACCGUAGCCCCGAGGCUUCCCAAAGAUGUUGAAAUGCGAGUUGCAGCCAACCCAGUCUGGAAGAAUUUGCCUAAUGAACCGCAGAAAACUGUACAGGACGAUGGUUCUGGAAGUUUGGAAGAUAGUAAAACCGUGAGCGUGAAUUUUAUAGGACAGUUUCUUGGACCAAAAGAAAGACUACUUUCAAUGAUGAACAAAAGGUUCCCCGAGUUAGGAUUGGUGGCAGAAGCAUGCACUGAAGUUACCUAUAUUCAAUCCAUACUCUUGUUUUCUCUUUUCUCAGCCGAUGAUUCUCCUGCUGGUCUGUUGAACCGAACAGCCUAUAAAAUUCCUUUUAAAGCCAAAUCAGACUUCGUGGACAAGCCCAUAUCAAGGGAAGGGCUUGAGGGGUUGUGGAAAAUCCUUCUCCAGCAAGAGCCUGGAAGAACGAAUUUUCUCUUCACAUCGUAUGGUGGAAAGAUGGCCGAAAUAUCAGAAUCUGCAAUUCCAUUCCCUCACAGAGCAGGAACCCUGUACAUGAUGUACAUGAGAGUGCGGACUGAUGGAGACACAUCCGAUUCCAUGAAGUGGAUCAGAGGCUUGUACAAGUACUUGACUCCUUACGUUACCAGCUCUCCCAGAGCUGCAUACGUAAAUUACAAUGAUCUAGACUUGGGAGUGAACAAUCUUCAAGGCACUACCAGCUACAAGCAGGCAAGUAAAUGGGGCAAGAAAUACUUCAAGAAUAACUUUGAUCGGCUGGUUAUAAUCAAGUCAGUUGUUGAUCCUGAUAAUUUCUUCAGGCAUGAACAGAGUAUUCCUCCAUUCUCUUAAUUUCGUAGUCAUUCUUUGUCUUUGUCGGUAGCUCUUAGUUUCAUAGGAUGUAAUUGUAUUUAAUUCUUUUAAUAUGAAAAACCAUUAUUUUAUUUUUUAAGAAUCGAUUUUGGAAAUUUGAAAUGUUCGGGUAUCGAUCUCCUCCGACUGUUUAGUGUAAACUCUGUUAUAUAUAUAGUACUGGCAUGUAUGUGUAUUAAUGUGUAAUGUAUCGAAUCGUGGCUGAAUAUAUGUUGUUACUACUCCGUGCGUUUAAGUUUGCCGACUUAUUUAGGCAUGAACAGAGUAUUCCUCCUAAGAUUAGUACUUGUGCUCUAGCCUGCAGGUGCGGAAUGGAAUUUGAUGGGCUAGGUGAAAUAGACCGUAAAAUAUUCACAACUCAAUAUUUAUGUAUAAAAUAAACGUUUUACAAAAUAGUAUAAUAAUAUAAACAGAAAAUUAAAACUAAGGAGUUCUAAAAAUAACAGAGAGACCUUGCGAAAAAGCUCCUAAGCAGAAGCACUAAAUUAAUAAAACUAAACAAUGUCUAGUCAAGAUAGAAAAGUGACCCCACUCCUGACGAAAAACUCAUACAAAAAGUAUAGUAUACAGUUGCCUGAAACAAAUGUAAUCAAUUUCUGGUUUUAAUUUUAAAAAAAAUAUAUACUCACAUUAUUUAAGUUGAACGUGUUGACAUUUUUGUGGAUAAAAAAAUAUAUACUCACAUUAUUUAAGUUGAACGUGUUGACUUUUUUGUGGAUAGAAUUGGUCAAUUACUCCCUCAGGAUCAAUCUCUUCAGCAUAUUCUUUUUCAUUAAUGUUAAGAAUCAUAGUUUCUCUCAAAUAAUCAUCUUUCAUUUUAUUUCGAGGAAAUGGUCUUAAUUAGUUUGAUAACUCAAAAUGCUCACUUUGUGAUAGUUGUAGAAAUCGGAGGAGUCAAAACAAGACAGAUCAACUGAUAGAUCAUACUAAAAUGUUUCACCUUACAAUUGUUUCAACUAGAUGUACACAUAAUUAAGUGAGAGUCGAUAAAUUCUAAAACUUCUCAUCCCUAAUAACAACAACUUUAUACAACUCAAGUUGUAGCCGUAAGUGGUACAACUCUUGCUCAUCAAAAUCAGAAGUAUAAAAUUUGUUAACCGUAAAUGAAAGUCUUGCAGUAACCAAUAGGUUCUCAUCAAAACCAAACACACGUCAUACCGUUUUAAUCGGUUAUUAAAAUUUUCAUAUCUUGUGUAAAACAUUAUGUAAAUUACUAAAAAUAUUAGAAGUCAAAGAUGCAAAACAAGUAAAAAUUGAAGAGAUUAAGAAAUGAAAAUUAUAUUUUAAAAUAUGAAUUCCACGUGAAAAUACGGAGUGAAAAGGAGCAACGGAGGCAUGGAAUUGAAUAGAAUUGUUGCUAUGGUUUCGCUUUUACAAAAAGCGACUAUGUUUUAAUGUUAUAACUAAGAAGUUGUUGUCUUGUCUGGUCUAAUUACGUAAGCACGAAAAGGGGCUGGAUUUUGAUAUUAGACAGGGCUAAUAGAUCACACUCCUGGUUCUUAAAAAAUUAAUAGGAUAUAAUCGGUUAGGGGGCCUUGUAGAGUAAAUCUGUGAUGUUUAGAUUAACUAAAAUCCCUUAUUUGAUAUAUACACCAGCAAACCAAAAACCACGCUGUCAAAAGUUUGAAAAUUACUCAAACUUUUAACAUAUCACCAACAAUCUUGAUUCAUCUCACCAAACAUAAAAUUUCAUCAAGUUCCAUAUCUUCCUCUUCAUUAAAAUCAUCUUCAUCAAGUUCUCGAAAUGUCUCAUCACGUGUAUAUAUUGAACCUUGAGACUCAUCAUUAUCUCCACCCCAUAUAAUCCAUUCUUUAGCCAUUCGAGCAUCAUUUGCAAGUAAAGGAUCACACCUGUCCUUUCAUUUUUUAUUUUUCAGAUAAAGAUAUUGGUCAUUUGAAUUGAUCAAUUGGACCAAGUUUGCAGGGUUGCUUGCUGACACCAUCAAUCUCUACACAAUCAUCAACCACUUUACUGUUUUCAGUGAUAUUAACCUCUGCCCGGCUUUCUUUGAGGCCCUUUCUUUUGUUUUCUUUCAUAUUUUUUACUUCCUCUAAUGCUCGUUUACACUUCACUUGAUCGAUUGGAGUAGAUCUGUAACAAGAUAUGACAUUACCUUUGAUUCCGGCUAUAUGUUGCUUUAAGCGAAAAACACCUUCACUAAGCACUACAUUUCACCCUUUGUGAUUUACCAGGAUCCACCAAAUCACCAUAUUCCCAUCCCCGUGUUAUCAAAUUUACUUGUUAAUGUUUCAUCCGAAGAACAAGGAGGUGCAGAAUUUGCCAUUCUGUUGAAAAUCAAAACAUAAAGCAUAUAUUCUGAGAAAAUUUACGUAGCCUGCAUCUACAUGUAUUAAGAUACUAAAUUAUUUCAACCAAAUGCCUAAAGUUAUAUAUUAUACAACAAGGCAUAAGCUGUGAACAUGUAUCUAAAUGACCAGGAACGAUUUCUAGCUAAGUCGUAAUAUAAGAAUUCUCCAUCUAGAUCUAAGCAUUAAUUUGAAAAACCCACAUCCUACUACCAAUUAAAUUGAAAGGGCUCCCACUCGAGUGAGUAAAUACAGCUACACCCAAAUAACUUGCGAGUACUAUCAAAAGAACAAAGUUAAUAAAAUCAUCACCGAAAGGAUCAUCACAAUCUCAAGGUUUUGAUAUGAAUAUGAUACACAACUCAACAAGAUAUCAUAAAAUUUGAAAAAAAAAAGGUAAUGAAAGAUUUGGUUUAGGUGUUAACAAGUACCUCUAUUCAACUAUUGGAUCUUGAUUCUUGAUCUUGUAUAGUAGAUGUUAAGGUUUUGCUCUCUGCUCGCUUUCUCUCUGAUGCACGAUGUUUUUACCCAUUUCAAGUUUUGAGUCUGUGCUGCGAGAAAAGACACCAAUUUCACUUUAUGCCACGUAACCUGCUUUGGUCUGUGUUUUUUGUAGUGUUUGACCCGAUUUCAGAUAUCUACCUUUAAUGGACCUGUUAACGUAAAUAACAUAGUUAUGCAACCUUACACCGAUUAGACGACCUGUUAAAGGGCUAAACGGCCGUUUUUAACAACAUUGACGUCGACUUGAUAAGAUAAUAUAUAUUAUCUUAAAUUAUAAUAUCAUGAUUGUUUUUAAAUAUAAUUGACAAUAUGUUUUAAAAACAAUAAAUAAAUAUAAAUAUUUAAAAACGACUUGAUAUAAUAAUAUAUAUUAUCUUAUUAUUAAUUAAAUAAUAUUUAUAUCUUGAUAGAAAAAAAGUGAUAUUAAAUAAAAUUUCGGAGAUGCGCUCAUUACACCUGCAUUACAACCGAUAGCAUUUAUGAAUCUAAAAUAAGACGUCAAGCUGUUGAAAGAUUAAACUGAUCUACUACUAUUAUUUAGAAUUCUGACUUGGACUUUGUAUAUGUAAUGAUAUCAACUCAACCAUAAAUGGACCAUUUCUAUAUUAAUAAGCCUGAGACACGCUUACUUUUUUGGUUGUAAAGGAACCACUUGCCAUUCACUAUAAAUACCUCUCAUACUACACCAUCUAAUGCACACAAACUCAAACUUUAGAUAAGGAAGAAAGAAAAGUAACCAAGAUUACAGAAAUGAAGAUUCAAGUUUGUUCGAUAUUUACAAUCCUUCUUUUAUUUUUGACCAUUUCAUCUGCAGCUGAUCCCAAUUAUACUUCUGGCCAAGACUUUGUUCAAUGUCUUAUCCGAUCGAGUUCAACCUCCAUAUCCAAAGUUAUUUACACCUCACAAAACUCUACUUACACCUCUGUCUUGAAGUUCUCCAUCAACAACCUCCGCUUUGAUACUCCGACGACUCCUAAACCUAUUGUUAUUGUCAAACCUGUGGACGAGUCGCAAAUUCAAACUGUCAUUUACUGUUGCAAGAAACAUGACAUUCAAAUGAGGAUUCGAGGCGGAGGACAUGACUACGAAGGUCUCUCGUAUGUAGCCCAAGUCCCGUUUGUGUUACUUGAU